rnacentral:rRNA from 1 species
CGUAGCCGCGGGAAUACGUAGGGUGCGAGCGUUAAUCGGAAUUACUGGGCGUAAAGCGUGCGCAGGCAGUUGUGUAAGACAGGUGUGAAAUCCCCGGGCUUAACCUGGGAACUGCGCUUGUGACUGCACAGCUAGAGUAUGGCAGAGGGGGGUGGAAUUCCACGUGUAGCAGUGAAAUGCGUAGAGAUGUGGAGGAACACCGAUGGCGAAGGCAGCCCCCUGGGCCAAUACUGACGCUCAUGCACGAAAGCGUGGGGAGCAAACAGGAUUAGAUACCCGGGUAGUCCCUGUCUCUUAUACA